rnacentral:lncRNA from 1 species
AUUUACAUAAUAUAAAUCAAAGUACACAGAAUCGAAACGUAGCCAACGUAAACAACCCACCACAGGCAGCUGACUGGGGGAGGUCGCUAGCCUAAUCCUCGAACUCGUCGAAGUCCUAGAACUCCUGGAGAUCCGCCUCGACGACUUCUUCUUUACCUGAGCAUAAAUUGCACCAAAGGCAACCUGGUGUUUUGUGAAAGCAAGGGUGAGUACACAUCAACGUACUCAGCAAAUGUCCCGUUUGGCUGUAGUGGACUAGCUUUAUGUGGGGUUAAGUCAAGCAGUUGCUUUUAGUUGGUCAGGUUAUUAUUACUAGUAGAAAGCCAGGUUUUAGCAUUAACCCAAGUUCUUAACCCAAAGUACCCUUUCCAAAUGGAAAGAAUACCACUUACCAUUACCAUAAUCAUAAUAAAAAACCAUCAUCCUCAUCACCACCUGCAAACCAACCAUCUCUGGUCAAAGUAUCUCUAAUCAAAGAGGAUCCCAAGGCUGCUCUUAACCGUGAGCACGACUGAUAUAUCAAUUUCAUUCCUCUGCAGAGGUCGCACACUUUACCCACGAGUCAUGAUUCCCUUUCUGCCCGGAGAGAGCUACUCUCCAUUGACCAGUACCUAGGUGGCCUGGCAGGGUAUCACUACAUAGCUGUUACAAAGAUUCCCUAGAGGUCAUAGCCGCCCGUUAGGUUUCUCCAGUUUGAUAAACACAGUACCUCUCUCCGCAGGAGGGUGACUAACAAAAGCAAAAUGAAAGAACCUCGGCACUCAGCCUCGGCAGAGCAAGCACUGUGCCUGGACCCCAUUGACGGCACAACGGCGAAGCAACUACACCUCUAGUUCCUCUAAUUAAUUAGCUAAGGGCAUCCCAUUUCACCCUCAUGGUUGCACUGUUAUCCCGGGUGGUCUCUCAACGAACAGGUCCUUACGGAGAUGUACUCGAGAAACUGCUUGAGUCCCCUAAAUGCCACAAGUACAUCAUCAUAUCCAGAAUAAAAUCAUAGUAUCAUCAUUGUAUCUCAUCAUGUUCAUUGAUUAAAGUAAAACGCUAGCAUAUAGCUAACCAUAGUAACCCAAAAGGUAAAUCAAGGACAAGGUGAAUAGAAAGCUAGUAAAUCCUUAGGUUUCAAUUAAGUAGUGCAGGAUAGUGAAUUAUAAAUAGAUAGGACAUAAUGGGUCAGAGGACACUUGCCUUCAACAAACAGAUGCUCAGGGUCUUCAAUCUCGUAGAACUUGUAGAGUUUGAUCACUUGGUCGUCGAAGCUUGACCGUCGAUUCCUCGAAGCUUAGAAACGAAUCGUGAUCUAAUCGCAACGCGAAGCGAAGACGAACAAGCACAAGCAAACAAACAUAUGUAUAUGCAAAAGAACAUUACACUAUACAAGAUAAAAUAUUAUAAAUGCGAACAAUAUAAAAUAGAGAGCGCCUCUACGGUUACGCGAGGAAAAGAACCACGAUAGACGAAGCUAUGGUCGAGGGGUUAGCACGUUUACGCUAAACAAGUAUUAAUUAGAACAUCCAAUUCGACAUAAUUAUAUUAAUGGAUAUUAAUCAAAUAUAAAUUAAUACUACUACUUAGUUUUGACUAACUUACUAUUUUAAUAUUUGACAGUUAAGCAAGUAACUUAAUUAAUAUGAGCGAUUCUAAGCGAGACGAAUUAACGACGCACGGCGUGCAAACACGAUGUGCGCGGCGCGCGGACACAAACGACUUAGCGUGCAGACAACGCGCGAUACGCGCGAACGACACGUGGCAAGGCGCGACACACGUGAACGACGCGCGACAACGCGUGCGAACAACACGACGACGACGAGCGCCACAACACGACAGAGUGCAG